AAUUACAAGUAGCCUAAAGUAAAGAUAAAAUACAUUAGACCCCUUGAUACUCUGAAAAGCUUCUACUUAAGCUUCAGUUCCUCACCCAAGGAACUUUCCUUUGAAGCUUCAAUUCUGGAGCUCCAGUUCCUUAUAUAAGGAACACGACUUGAUUGACUUCUUUAUCCUUCCAUGGCUAGCUUAGAUCUUGUUUCAUGCUCCCUUCUUACUCAAGAAUUUCCUAGCAUAAACCUGUCAUAAAUCAAAGCUAAAACCGAAGGUUAAACUUGUUAUAGGUUUGCUUAGGUUCCUUGAGUCAUCAUCAAAACAUAAGGUCAACAGUCUUCUUCUUUUCCUCCAUCGCGUUGUUCAGGUAUUCAAUCAUUAUUUCGAAGAAUUUGAAGAGGAAUCCCUGAGGGACAACUUUGUUGUUGUGUAUGAACUUCUUGAUGAAAUGAUGGACUUCGUUUACCCUCAAUACACUGAAGCCUUAAUCCUCAGUGAGUUCAUCAAAAUGAAUGCUUAUAAGAUGGAAGUUGUGUAGCGGCCACCCAUGACUGUGACAAAUGCAAUUUCCUGGCGCUGUGAAGGGAUUAAAUACAAGAGAAAUGAGAAACUGUAUCUUUUUCUUAUUCUUAGAGGCUACUAAUGACUUUGUGAAGUAUGACUGUAUGAUGCUUUACUCAUAGCCUCUAUUUUUUCGUUUUUCGUGA